UACGUAGGGUGCAGGCGUUAAUCGGAAUUACUGGGCGUAAAGCGUGCGCAGGCGGUUUGCUAAGACAGGUGUGAAAUCCCCGGGCUUAACCUGGGAACUGCGCUUGUAACUGGCAAGCUAGAGUGUGGCAGAAGGGGGUGGAAUUCCAGGUGUAGCAGUGAAAUGCGUAGAGAUCUGGAGGAACACCGAUGGCGAAGGCAGCCCCCUGGGCUAACACUGACGCUCAUGCACGAAAGCGUGGGGAGCAAACAGG
rnacentral:rRNA from 1 species